UACGAAGGGGGCUAGCGUUGUUCGGAAGCACUGGGCGUAAAGGGUGCGUAGGCGGGCCCUUAAGUCAGUGGUGAAAGCUCCGAGCUUAACUCGGAAACUGCCAUUGAUACUAUAGGUCUUGAAUUCGGUCGAGGUUGGCGGAAUGUGUCGUGUAGCGGUGAAAUGCUUAGAUAUGACACAGAACACCGAUUGCGAAGGCAGCUAGCUAGACCGACAUUGACGCUGAGGCACGAAAGCGUGGGGAUCAAACAGG
rnacentral:rRNA from 1 species